rnacentral:lncRNA from 1 species
UCUUCGUCUUCUAGAUCAAUAUGAAAGCCCACAACUCAUCAUCUUUGAUGCUUCCUUGGGCUAGUUGCUUUGGUGGCCCAUAAGGCUUCAUAGUCUUGAUGGCAUCGAUGAUCGACCUUACCUGAUCUAAACUUACAUGAACCAGAUCCUUGGGCUUCAUGGAAUUGGGCCUUAUUGUCACGUUUUGACUCUGUUUCCUUGGUAGAAGCUUCUU